GACUGGUUAGCUCAGUUGGUUAGAGCAUGGUGCUAAUAACACCAAGGUUGCUGGUUUGAUUCCUGCAUGGGCCA